GGGGAAUUGGUGCAGUGGUAGGACACUGGCAAAGAAAGCCAGAGGACCUAGGUUCCAACCCUAGAUUCUCCA
rnacentral:tRNA from 1 species